rnacentral:snoRNA from 1 species
ACCCACGCCCUCACUGUAGUGCCGUGCCGCAAACCACGUAGGCACCGUGCAUGAAACUGGAGCGCAAGAUUC